UUUAUUUAAGGUCUGACCUGCCCACUGAUGAUAAUUGAAGGGCCGCAGUAUUUUAACUGUGCAAAGGUAGCAUAAUCAUUAGUCUUUUAAUUGAAGGCUUGUAUGAAUGGUUGGACGAGAUACUAACUGUUUUAUCUGAAUUGAUUUAGAAUUUUAUUUUUUAGUUAAAAAGCUAAAAUUUUAUUAAAAGACGAGAAGACCCUAUAGAUCUUUAUAAUUUAAUUGUUUUAACUAUUUAGAUUAUUUAAGUUAAAAUUUAUUUAAUUAUUUUGUUGGGGUGACAUUAAAAUUUAUUUAACUUUUAAUAUGUUUUUACAUUAAUUAUUGAAUUUUUGAUCCAGUAAUAUUGAUUAAAAAAUUAAGUUACCUUAGGGAUAACAGCGUAAUUUUUUUAGAGAGUCAUAUCGAUAAGAAAGAUUGCGACCUCGAUGUUGGAUUAAGAAAUAAUUUUAGGUGCAGUAAUUUAAAUAAUAAGUCUGUUCGA
rnacentral:rRNA from 1 species